GGUAGUCCACGCUGUAAACGAUGGGCACUAGGUGUCGGAGGUGUCGACUCCUCCGGUGCCGUAGCUAACGCAUUAAGUGCCCCGCCUGGGGAGUACGGCCGCAAGGCUAAAACUCAAAGGAAUUGACGGGGACCCGCACAAGCAGCGGAGCAUGUGGUUCAAUUCGACGCAACGCGAAGAACCUUACCUGGGCUUGACAUGUAGGUGACAGCCGUGGAAACACGGCCUCCCUUCGGGGGCACCUUCACAGGUGGUGCAUGGCUGUCGUCAGCUCGUGCCGUGAGGUGUUGGGUUAAG
rnacentral:rRNA from 1 species